CUGGCGGCGUGCCUAAUACAUGCAAGUCGAGCGAACUGAUUAGAAGCUUGCUUCUAUGACGUUAGCGGCGGACGGGUGAGUAACACGUGGGCAACCUGCCUGUAAGACUGGGAUAACUUCGGGAAACCGAAGCUAAUACCGGAUAGGAUCUUCUCCUUCAUGGGAGAUGAUUGAAAGAUGGUUUCGGCUAUCACUUACAGAUGGGCCCGCGGUGCAUUAGCUAGUUGGUGAGGUAACGGCUCACCAAGGCAACGAUGCAUAGCCGACCUGAGAGGGUGAUCGGCCACACUGGGACUGAGACACGGCCCAGACUCCUACGGGAGGCAGCAGUAGGGAAUCUUCCGCAAUGGACGAAAGUCUGACGGAGCAACGCCGCGUGAGUGAUGAAGGCUUUCGGGUCGUAAAACUCUGUUGUUAGGGAAGAACAAGUACGAGAGUAACUGCUCGUACCUUGACGGUACCUAACCAGAAAGCCACGGCUAACUACGU
rnacentral:rRNA from 1 species